rnacentral:lncRNA from 1 species
AUGAAUUCAUCUCAUCCUCACAACAGCCUUUUUAGGGCCACUCUCCUGUUAGCGUCACUGCCGACGAGGAAGCUGGGCCACAGAAAUGACAAGGUAUUUUCUCAAGUCCACACCGUCACAAGCGAUGGCUGGUGGGAUCAGAAUCCCGGGGGCCUGGUCCAGGCCCUAAACAGGUAUACCCUGCCUGCCCGCCUGCCUUACUUAACACAACACCAGGACCAGGCAUUUGACGAGGAGGCUGGGCUGGGGGUGAGGGUGGGGUCACCCUGCGAAGGUCUUUAUUUAGCCUGGGAAUCGGGAAUUAAAAUCUCGUUUUUUUUACCCCAGGCCUCGCCGUGUGGCCUUGCACAAGUCUGCUCCCCUCUGUGGGUCUCAACCCUCUCUCUAUUUGCAGGGCUGGUCAGUCAUUCACGUCCUCUGAAGGGCCUUAUUUCCAAGCCCCAGUCCCUCCGUGAGCAGAGGGUCUUGGACCCCUCGUCCACCCACCCUUGCCAGGUGACCAGGGCACCCCCGCUCCCUAUCGCUGGCCUGGCUGCUGUUGGGAACACAGCUUUCCCUCAAGGAAAAAGAGAGACAGAGACAGAGAGUCGGGGGAAAGAGAGAGAGAGAGAGAGAGUAAUUGCUUUUUCACCAGGAGGCUCUGUCCUCUGUCUCCAGGCCUCUAGCCCCUGUUCUCCUUUCCCCUCACCUUCCCCCCUGUCUGUCAUUUUCCUGGAGUCCAGGCCUUCAAGUCCCAUCUCUCCCCCACACCCCUGCCUGGGCCUUCCCCACCCUCUGAAUCGGCCCUGCCUGACACCGAGGCACCUGGCGAGAGAGCCUACUGCCCCGGGGAGGCCCCGGCGCAUCCCCUCCGGUUUCUCGGCCACAGCCCCCCUUCUCGCUCCCUCUCCUCCCUGCUUCCCUGCGCCUCUUUUCCAGGCGGUACUGAAGUCCUUCCUACACACACGCUAUUUUUGUACCAUCACUCUCUCCUUCCUCUCCCCCUUCCCCCUACAUUCACUUACUUCCUGCUUUUCCUUCACCUCGGCCCAGCUCUGA